GUGAUCCCUGAAGGGUAGGCCAUCAUGGUGAGGUCAUUUUUAGGCCUUGUAGCAUCCACUCAACAACUGAAAGACAGGCUGGUGUUAUACUAGAAAACCCUGGCCUUCAGAUCCCCACACCCAGACUGAGUUCUUUUCUUGCCACAACAAGAAUCCUGCAACUUUCCGUCACAGAAGAAGAACAAAAUUAGAUAGCCCUUGGAAGGUAGGUGUGACCUGUAUCCACACUGGGGCUGAAAUAUUUAUUCUGUGAUUUGUUCGUCACAUAUUAAAACUGGAUUUUUAGCUGA